GGGCGCGUAGCUCAGCUGGCAGAGCGCUUCACUCACAUUGAAGAGGUCGGAGGUUCAAGUCCUCCCGCGCCCA
rnacentral:tRNA from 1 species